AUUAACCCAGCUGUUAGGAGUGUUGUCAGCAGACAGCCUUCAGCUGUCAGCCCCAUCAGGAAUUACUUAACCAAGCAGAAUGGCCUUACCCAAAGACAUACCCUUUCCAGGACAGCCUGUAUCCAAUGAUUGAUCGAUGAGGAAAACAAAGACAAUGACAUCUCAGCCCGACCUGAGACAACGUUGAAGGGCCAUUCUAGUUCCACCACUUCCCAUAGAGUCAGCUGAGGCAGCUUGAUUUCUCCCUCUGCCCAAUUUUGUUUCUGUCCCUGCUGUGGUCAAUGUUUGUGUCUCCCCAAAAUUUAUGUGUUGAAAUCCUAACCUCCAAAGGUCAUAGUAUUAGUAGUUGGGGCUUUUGGGAGGUGACUAGGUCAUGAGGGUGGAGCCCUCAUUAAUAGGAUUAAUGCUUUUAUGAGAGACCCUAGAGAGCUCCCUAGCCCCUUCUGCCAUGUGAUGACACAGCAGGAAGGUGCCAGCUAUGAACCAGGAGGAAGGUCCUCACCAGAAAAUGUGACCCUGCUGGUGCCUUGAGCUUGGACUUCCCACCUCCGGAACUGUGAGAAGACUCAGUCUAACACAGCAUCACCACCACCACCUCUCAGCCUUCCAGUGUGCUCGCUGUCUUCUCGAUUCUGUCUCCUUUUAUUCCAGUGAUCAUAAAGAUUAUCUGUUCUCCCAAAUCCAUUCUCCUCUUCUUCCAUAGUAAUGGAGAUGUGCCUAGGAUGAGAAUGCCCAUUUCCCAGGCUCCCUUGCAGGCUUCCACCCUCCAGAUGGCUUGAAGAGCAACAACCAAGAUGGCCUUGGAAGCCACAUGUGGAAGAGGGAGUGCUGUCAGCCUCAGUCUCUGAAUGGCUGUGUGGAACAGAGCUGUCCACCUACCCAUGACAUUUACCUGAGAGAGAAAUAAGUUUCCUUGUUUCUCGAGUCUUACUAUUGUCGAGUCUCAUUAUGGCAGCUCCUUCAGAUAUGUAAUCAGCUUUCAUUUUUUUCACUUACUCUGUCCCAAGUAUUUUUCUGAUACCUGCAUUGUUCAUGGUGUUUAUUAAAAUAAGGGAUUAGGGGUAAGUUACUCUUAAUUAGUUACUCUUUACUAAAAUAAGGGAUUAGGGGUAA
rnacentral:lncRNA from 1 species